rnacentral:rRNA from 1 species
UUGGAGGGCAAGUCUGGUGCCCGCAGCCGCGGUAAUUCCAGCUCCAAUAGCGUAUAUUAAAGUUGUUGCAGUUAAAAAGCUCGUAGUUGAAUUUCGGGACCAAUAUGUCGGUCGUGCUUCGGUACGUACUUGCAUUAUUGGUUUCUCCCUUCUGAAGAACCAUGAUGUCAUUAAUUUGGUGUCUUGGGGAAUCAGGACUGUUACUUUGAAAAAAUUAGAGUGUUUAAAGCAGGCUCACGCUUGAAUGCAUUAGCAUGGAAUAAUGAAAUAGGACGUUUGAUUCUAUUUUGUUGGUUUCUAGGAUCGACGUAAUGAUUAAUAGGGAUAGUUGGGGGCAUUAGUAUUCAAUUGUCAGAGGUGAAAUUCUUGGAUUUAUUGAAGACUAACUACUGCGAAAGCAUUUGCCAAGGAUGUUUUCAUUAAUCAAGAACGAAAGUUAGGGGAUCGAAGACGAUCAGAUACCGUCGUAGUCUUAACCAUAAACUAUGCCGACUAGGGAUCGGAUGAUGUUAUUUUUGAUGACUCAUUCGGCGCCUUACGGGAAACCAAAGUGUUUGGGUUC